rnacentral:lncRNA from 1 species
GUCUGGAAUUUCAGCAUGGGCUGGGAUUGGUUUUCUGCCAGCCACAAGGCUUUCAGGUUAAGGUUCGUCAAAGCAAAGGGCAAAUUCUGCAGCCUGUUUCCUGCCACGUCCAGGACGUGCAGCUCAGUGGUGUUGGCGAGCUCUGCUGGCAGCAGGGCCAGGCGGUUGUCUCGCAGAGAAAGGACGUUCAGGUUGGCGCAGCCCCCGAUCUCAGCUGGAAGGGACGUCAAACGGUUCCGAUCCACGUUCAGGUUUGUCAGCUUGGUGAGCUUCCCAAGGGACUUGGGUAAGGCUGUCAGCAUGUUCUCUGUCAGGAUGAGUUCUGAUAGAUUUUCACAGUCCCCAAUUGACU